CUUCUGGAUUGCUCCCCAAUAUUGUAUGUUUCUGUCCAUGUCUCUCUGACUUUCUGUCUCUCAACACACACAUUCUUCUUUCUUCACAAAGCUUAAAUAUAUAUCAAAUUUGAAACAAAGGAGCAGAGACACUAUUUGGCUGCUACAGUAAGAAUAGAAAAAACCAACUUCAGUAAGCCAAGUCAUUAUUUAACAAUUUGUAUUGUCUCCCUUAUAUUUCACUUAGAAACCUUUUCACUUAAAUUAGAGCACAAUACCAUUUAAUCUGUAACAAAGAUUAGCUGGUUACCAACAAUCAAAUAAUCUCUUACUUAUUUAAAUGUUAUUAGUAAUACACCACUCAACAUUUUUUCCUCCAAAUUAAAUCCUAGUUGCUUAGAUUUUUUUUUUAAUGUAAGUCUUAAUUUGCACAAGAAAGACAUAUCUUCAUGGGCUUAUUUAUAUGUCUUAUUUUUCAUAUCACUUCAUGAGUUAACAAUUACCAAGAUUAAAAGAGAAUAACAAUUUUAGAAUAUAUUCCCCCCAAGAUUUGGAGCAAUACAGUGGAUGAAAGAGAAAAAGCCGUUCCAGAUGUCAGGAAACAAAGUAGAAACCUGUAGGCAUGUUCUAUCAUAUGAAGAUGUCUGAUGGAGAGUGAACUAGACUGAACAGAGAACAGUGGAAGAUGAGAAGUUAUCAGAAGUAAUGUCACUAAACAUCAUUAGAGAACACCUUUCUUAAGAAUAUUGAACAAAAGACUCGAGAAACUAUUUACACAACUGGUAUGGAAAUGAGACCAAUUCACAUGCGGUUUUCAAGACACCACCUAAUCAUCACUUCUUUGAGAAGUCAUGGGCCUCUCCUCCCAGCAAACAGCUAGGUGCUCAUCUUCUGUGCUUCCAGAACAUCUGUAUGGCUCAACUGUAGCACAGCUUUAGAUAAAGAAACUAUGGUCAUUUCUGGAGAUAUAUUAAGAUGGUUCCUAACAAGGAGCCCAAAUUUCAGCGGACUUAACUGAGGCACAUGGAACCGUUGAUGAUUUUCCCAUUGAAAGGAAGGAAACAAAGAGUGCAAUUGGAUAAUCAUAUAUAAUUGCUACAAUUACUUUGCCAGAUUGUUCUCCAAAAUGGCAACAUCCAAGUACAAAGGAGUUCUUGUUUCCCCAUCAACAUUCAGCAUUAUUGAACUGGGCGAUUUUCCCCUGUCUGAUGGGUGUAAAAUAAUAUCUCAUUGUUGAUUUUCUUCUUUACUUACUGAGCUACCUCCUGAAAACCACUACAGUAAUAGUAAAUGGAUUUUUAAACAUCAGUGUAAACCCACAAGGACAAAGAGAUCAAGAGUAAAACAAGCUCACUAGACUACAGGAAGCUGCAAAGAGGAAAUAUAAAUGGCAACUAACUUAGAAGACCCGGGAGAGCUGAGACUGCAGUGGGGAGAAGCCAAACAGCAGCCUGAUUUACAAUGCAGGAUCCCAUUCCCAUCCCCAUCCCCACCACAAAGUCUCAGGAAUUGGUGUCUGGCACUUCUGGUAGAAGGGGUAAAUGCUGGGCAAUAUUAGACUUGGCGGAAAAGCCUGAGAAGCAGGUGCACCCACAGAUACCUUCACCACUCUGCUCUGCAGAUGACUAACCCUCUACCACAUAGCAACAGAUUGGAGAUUAUUCUCUGGAGACAACUAAAGAGAAGGUCUUGAAUGGAGGACAACAGGCACACUUGAAGACGGGAAUUCAAAAUGGAAAACAGGUAGAUUAAGACAGAGUUAACAGAAUGCUUAAAAUGGAAAUAUCACAAAGGAGCUCUACGUGUUUCUUACAGAUAGAGACACAAAUUACAUAAGAACAUUCUCUUGAUGUGUAGCAAGGAUUGCCAGUGGAAUUCACCUACAUAAAGAGACCUUUAAAAUUAAUUCUAUAUAAAAUUCUAUAUAUUUUCUUUAUUUCUUAGAGCCAUGUCAAACAUCUAUUUCUAUUUCUUUUAAAGUGAAUGGAUUGUUUGAACAUUAUCUUGGUACAUAAAUGCAGACAUUUUAAGUAAUUGCAUUUGUUGUAUCCUGGAUUGGAAGUAGGCAUAAAUAUUGAUUUCUUCUGUUCCAUGUAAUUGAUGACACAGAAUCUACUUUGAGUACCAUGGCAUCAACAAAACUUAUUUACACAUUUCACAUGAUGUAUGUAUAUAUCUAGAGAGACAAUCCUUGGAGAUGCAACAAUAUCUUGCUUUUAUAAUAUUACAUUUUGAUGUUGAUAUACCUUGAUUAUCCCAUAUAUUCUAUACUACAUUCACAGUGAAACUGUCUCUGUUCUUGGAAAUCACUAUGCUUUUACUAUUCUUUGCCUGCAAUGUCCUUUCCCUCUCUAUCUGCCCAAAAAGCUUCCACCUACCUUUCAAGAAUUAUCUCAAAUAUGACCUCCUUUAAAAGGCUUCCUUGACACCCCUCAGUUGUUAUUGCUCCAGUAUUUAUGUAAUACAGCACUGUGUUUGUACUUUCAUUAUGGCAGUCCCUGUAUUGUUUUAUAAUUAUAUUCAUAACUCUGUUAACUCAGCCCAGAUACUAUCUCUUAUUUAUAUUUUUAGCCUGUUAACCCACCACAGUGCUAGGCGUAAGUAGUUAUUCAAUAAAUGUUUA